AGGCCUCCUCCCGACCCUGCGCCGUGCCCAGCCCCUCUGCCCUCCUGUUACCCCGGGACCUCGGGCCGCCAGCCCCUUCCACGUGCAGGCUCCUGCUGCUCUCGCGGGGGCUUUUCGUGUGUCCCCCGAGAUGUCGAGGAAGCCAGGUGAGUUCCUCGCGACAGGCGGUGCCCUUUGCAGGAGGGGACAGGUAGCUGAGGCGUGGACAGAGUGACAGGCCAGGCUCAGGGGACACAGGUGAGACCCCCUCACUGGGCUGCCAGUUCCCGGGCUUGGGGCAUCCCAGUACGUCAGCGUCUGCGGCCUUACCUCCUGACACCUAAGGCCAGAGACAGAGCAGGCCCGCGCCCUGGGAGGUCCUGAUGUCCAGCCUGAAGAUUGAGGACAAAGCCACCACCUUUCACAAAAUGAGGCCAGACCACCUGCCUCCCUCCAGUCCCUGCGGCCUGGAGACGGAGUCAACAUUCUUAUCUGUGUUGGAUCUGAAUGUUCCUCCUUGCAAAGGAAACAAGGAGUGGACGUUCAGGCUGAUGGCCAGCUUCAAAGAUCGGGGCCUUUGAUUCCCAUCACUGGGAAGAAAGCCCUUCAGACAAGCCCCCCCAGGCUGCAGGUGCAUGGGGACCUUGAAGAACCCGUCCCCAUGGUCCCACGUCCAUGUGUCUCGAGACCUGUCGCAUCCUCGCUGAAACUCAAGAAUGUGAAACAGGUGAAGAGUCCAGCUCUCCCACGGGUGGCUGUGAUCCUUCUUCCUGGGGAGUCCUGCUGUCCCUGACUAGGGGCACCUGCCCACCUGUCAGCUGCUCCUCCCUCGGCUGGUCCUCCUGGGCUCUGAUGGCCCCAACAUUUCUAGCUCUUCUCACCCAUAGUGCCCCAAGCUUCAUGCAGCUGCGGCAGGUACUGUGCCCGUCUGCCUGGCUUUUGUGUGUUUGUGUCUUGACUCUAUAACCCGUGCACACGGACUGGGCUGUGGUGUAGUGGGGAUGGCAGGAGCCCUGGGAACAUGCGGGCUGGGCAAGGUGAGGCAGGCUGAUUGCUGUGGCUCCCCCACCACCAGCCCCAGCCACAACAAACUGACAAAGGAAGAGGACAGUGGUACCCUGGAGCCCUGGGGUCAGAGAGAGGAGGACAAAGCAGGUGUGUAGCCCAGGGAAUGACAGCACCCCUUCCGAGAAGACAGGGAGGGUGCAGACAUGGCCAGGUUCUGAGCUAGAAAACUGUCAGCAGGGGGCUGAAGCUGAGGAUAGUCAUUGCCAAGGAACAGCCUCCGUCACAGAGGAGACGCACAGAUGCGGUGACGAGGGAGGGAUGCGGGGCUGGUGACCGCUGGGAACGGAUGUGUGAGGCAGAGUCUCCAGGCAUGGUCUGUGGGGCGGUUUGAUGAUACUAGAACAUCUCAGAGUAGAAGGACGUCCCGACCUGCAGACUGGAAAGCCCCCAGAGCUCCCGGCAGGACGUAUGAGGGCCAGCCCACACCCAGGUCUGUCCUGAUACAACUGAACGCCACAGUGUCUUAGCUCCUUUACUGUUGCUAUCAAGAAACACCUGAGGCUGGGAAAUUUAUGAAGAAUCAUGAGGUAAUUUGUAUAUUUGUCCACACUAAACCUCAUGUUGAAUUGUAAACCCCAAGGCUGGAGGUGGCUGGGUCAUGGGGGUGGAUUUCUCAGGAAUGUUUAGUACCAUCCCCUUGGUGCUGUCCUUGAGAUAGUGAGUUCUCCUGAGAUCUGGUUAUUUAAAAAGUGUGGGGCACCUCUCUCUCUCGCUCACUCGCUCGCUCGCUCCUGCUCUGGCCAUGUGACGUGCCCGCUCCCCCAUUGCCUUUCACCAUGAUUGGAAGCUUCCGGAGGCCUCCCCAGAAGCUGAGCAGAGGCCAGCACCAUGCCUCCUGUAAAGCCUGCAGAACCAGGAGCCAAGUAAACCUCUUUUCAUUAUUUAUUUAUUUAUUUAUUUAUUUAUUUUGACACAGGGUCUCGCUCUGUUGCCCAGGCUGGAGUGCAGUGGCGUGAUCUCGGCUCACUGCAACCUCUGCCUCCUGGGCUCAGGUGAUCCUCCCACCUCACCCUCCUGAGUAGCUGGGACUACAGGCACACGCCACCAUACCUGGCUAAUUUUUCAUAUUUUUUGUAGACAUGGGGUCUUACUGGCCCAGACUGGUCUCAAACUUCUGAGCUCAAGUGAUCCAUCCACCUUGGCCUUCCAGAGUGCUGGGAUCACACGCAUGAGCUACCAUGCCGGCCCUCUUUUCUUUUAAAAUUGCCCAGUCCUAAGUAUUUCUUUAUAGCAAGGCAACCACAGCCUAACACAGCUCACGAUGCUGAGGUCUCAAAAGUUCAAGAUCGGGCGUCUGCCUCUAGUGAGGGCCUUGCUGCCGCUGCCUCCACUCAUGGCAGAAGGUGAAGGGCAGCUGGAGUGUGUGCAGACCGUGUGCGAGAGGGAGCUGGAGGAGUAGGGAAGUACAGGCCUUUUUUUUUUUUUUUAAGAUGGAGUCUCGCUCUGUUGCCCAGGCUGGAGCGCAGUGGCGCAAUGCCGGCUCACUGCAACCUCCGCCUCCCGGGUUCAAGCGAUUCUCCUGCCUCAGCCUGCUGAGUAGCUGGGAUUAGAGGCAUGCGCCACUAUGCCCGGCUAAUUUUUGUAUUUUUGUAGAGACGGGGUUUCACCAUGUUGGUCAGGCUGAUCUUGAACUUCUGACCUCGUGAUCCGCCCGCCUUAGCCUCCCAAAGUGCUGAGAUUAUAGGCAUGAGGCACCGUGCCGGCCGUGCAGGUGUUUUUAAAAGCACCUCUUGCUGGAACUAGUAGGAGUGAAAACUCACUCAUUACUAAGAGGACAGCACCAAACUGUUCGUGAGGAAUCUGCCCCCAUGACCCAGACACCUCCAACACUGGGGCUCAGAUUUCAACCUGAGGUUUGAAGGGGACCAACACCCAAACUAUAGAAACAGAGAAAGAGGAAAGUUUACAGAUACCCAUUUAGAAAGAAUCUGCUAACAAAGGGAAAGAAUCAGGCUGGGCGCGGUGGUUUAUGCCUGGAAUCCCAACACUUUGAGAGGCCAAGGUGGGUGGAUCACCUGAGGUCAGGAGUUUGAGACCAGCCUGGCCAGCAUGUGAAACCCUGUCUCUACUAAAAAUGCAAACAUUAGCCAGGCGUAGUGACGUGCACCUGUAGUCCCAGCUACCCAGGAGGCCAGGCAAGAGAAUUGCUGGAGUUCAUGAGACAGAGGUUGCAGUGAGCAGAGAUCCUGCCACUGCACUCCAGCCCAGGCAACAAGAGCGAGACUGUGUCUCAAAAACAAACAAACAACAACAACAAAAGGAAAGAAUCAGACUGGCUUGGGACUCUGCUGUCCCCUGCCCGUGACCUCCCAAAAGCGUGUGUUAGAGACUGACCUGCCUAGUGCGUCAGUGGAGGGGGCACUUUGGAGAGGGGCUUGGAUCGUGAGGCCCCGCCCUCGUGAAUGGCUCAGUGCCUUGUGAAAGGGCUUGAUGGAGGGAGUUUGGUCCCUUUUCCCCUUUUGUCUCUCUGCUGUGUGAGGACACCAUGUUCCUCCCCUCUGGAGGAUGCUGUAACAAGCUGUCAUCUCGGGAGGAGACACCAGGCCCUGACCAGACGCUGAACAUGCCAGCACCUUCAUCUUGGACUUUCCAGCCCCCAGAACUGUGAGAAAUAAAUUUCUGUUCUUUAUAAGUACCUAGUCCAUGGUGUUUUGUUACAGCAGCAUGAACAGACUGAGAUAGCGGCUUACAUGUAACCGGAAGCUGCAGAAAAACAUCUUCAGACAGCUGAGACGGCUCCCAGGACUCGUGCCUGGCACAGACACCAUCUGCCUGGCAGGGCAAAGAAAGGCGUCUGUGAGUGUGGGAGGAUUCCGAGUCUAACACCCUGAGCCCAGCCAGGAAGGGGCCAGGAA
rnacentral:lncRNA from 1 species